rnacentral:rRNA from 1 species
AGUGAACGCUGGCGGUAGGCCUAACACAUGCAAGUCGAACGGCAGCACAGUAAGAGCUUGCUCUUACGGGUGGCGAGUGGCGGACGGGUGAGGAAUACAUCGGAAUCUACUUUUUCGUGGGGGAUAACGUAGGGAAACUUACGCUAAUACCGCAUACGACCUACGGGUGAAAGCAGGGGAUCUUCGGACCUUGCGCGAUUGAAUGAGCCGAUGUCGGAUUAGCUAGUUGGCGGGGUAAAGGCCCACCAAGGCGACGAUCCAUAGCUGGUCUGAGAGGAUGAUCAGCCACACUGGAACUGAGACACGGUCCAGACUCCUACGGGAGGCAGCAGUGGGGAAUAUUGGACAAUGGGCGCAAGCCUGAUCCAGCCAUACCGCGUGGGUGAAGAAGGCCUUCGGGUUGUAAAGCCCUUUUGUUGGGAAAGAAAAGCAGCAGGUUAAUACCCCGCUGUUCUGACGGUACCCAAAGAAUAAGCACCGGCUAACUUCGU